rnacentral:rRNA from 1 species
AUGUGGCGUCCGGGAGGCUCCCAGAUCCAAUCGCCCGGCCUCCCCUUCUCCCCCUCCUCCUCCCUCGCCGCCGCCCGAGGGCGCGGCAGGGCGAAGCCGUGCCGUCGCCGGCGGCAGCGGGGACUCGGGGCCCUCCCGCUCGUGAGGGGCUGGUGCGGGCCGGCGCCCCCGGGCCGGAGCGUGGUGUUCGGCCGGACGUCACGGCGGGGGGUUGCGGCGCUCCGGCGAUUCCAUACCUCCACGGAAGGCGGCUUCAAGCUUUGGGGUGUCGCGGUCAUCAGGGAUGGCAGCGGCGCGACCGGAUCAGUGGCAGCACGGCCGGAUCAGGGCCCAGGCGUGGGCUUGGUCUCCGGGUCGCGGUCGGCGCGAUGGCGGGACCUGGAUCCCUCUCAUGGUGACCGUAUACUUGUUGUCAGCCGUGCCUUCUCAUCAGGCAGUUUGAUGGCCACACGUGGGUCUCUCAAUGAAAACCCUCCCAUGUGGGUUUCUGAUGAUCUAGAAAUCACCGAGGUUGUAUUUGGAGGGCCAAUUAUAGGAAAUGGUGAUAGAUUUAUUGGGAUGAACCUUCAUACGGACGAUUCCGAUGAUGUAGACGAGAGAAACGUUGUCUUCCUUCGACGGGAGAAACUUCUUAAAAGCUUGAAGAAGUUUGGGAUACUCAAGUAUGUCUUUUACGCUUCGAGUAUCUAUGAUCCUCCCAAGUAG